AGGGAGUAAUCCUAAUUUUGAUUGGAUUAGUGAUUGGCCUACUCCAAUUGGAUAAUCUAUUUGAGACUCACCCUGUAAACAUGUGGAUCGCCAUAGCUGCCUCGGUCAUGUGUUCCUUUUCAUAUGCAGCCAUGACAAAGAUUAAUGGGACUCAUUGGGCAAAAUACUCUCAAAUCAUUGACAUAUUCCGUAUCCUUUCAGGAACACUUGUACUGGUCUCACUGGCAUCAAUCCAUCUGCCGCAUCAGCUUUGGUGGUUAUUUUUUGUCAUAUGGGCUCCUCUGGCUUUUAUAAUUGUUGCAGGUACAUGGAUUUACUCAAGGGCAGAGGGAAGGGGGGUCGAGACAACAAUUUCUCUUCCUCAAGUAUAAAAAUUUUCAAAUGCCUCGGUUGCCCACUCUUAAGCACUCAUCAGGCUUCUUAGGUUAGACGAAGAGGAAGAUGAUGACCUGUUAUGAUUUCUCCAAAAUGUGCCGUUUAUAGGUUUAUUGUUUUUAUUGUUGUUGCUACUGUUGGGGAACUAGCAAGACUUCUUCCAAACACAUUGUGGGACGUAGGUUGUUUGGCAACCAAGUAUGCUUUCAAGUUAGCACAUCUUAAAACUUUUGAUGCAGUCCAACAAACAAAGUGCAAGAGAUGCAAGCGAAAAUCAGUUAUCACAGGGGGCGCAACCAAUCUGAGGAGAUGAUUUUUGUUGAUGGUAAGAAUGCAGAGCUAAGAAUAAUUCCCUUCAAGGAGAAUAGAAGAACAACCAAAGUGGGCAGCGAAACUAACUGCCAGAAGGGCAGCAUUGGCUUCCCCAAUCGUGGCAUCCAGGUGAGGUAACUUCUUGGUACAGGCAGCCAUGAUGAGACUUAUUGAGACUUGUGUGGUCACUAAGGACCAGGGCUGCAACACUGAACAGGGGAGAAUGGAAACAUCAAAAUUUGCUUUGAAGAAGCCUUGGGGUGGAGGGGUCUAAACUUCAGGGGCAGUAGCCGAGUCAUGCCAGGCUUUUAAGGUGAGCCUUAACCAUAGAGCGUAUGGAUUUGAAAGAAAAGGCUGUAUUUUUGUUGUUUGGUGACAAAAAUGCUUGUUUAAAUUAAGACUUGCGCUCCGUUUUCUAAAGCCGGCCAGAUGGCUAUGUUUUUGGUUUUAA